rnacentral:misc_RNA from 1 species
GAUGAAGAACGUAGCGAAAUGCGAUAAGUAAUGUGAAUUGCAGAAUUCAGUGAAUCAUCGAAUCUUUGAACGCACAUUGCGCCCCCUGGUAUUCCGGGGGGCAUGCCUGUCCGGGCGUCAUUACAACCCUCAAGCUCAGCUUGGUGUUGGGCCCCGCCGCCCCGGCGGGCCCUAAAGUCAGUGGCGGUGCCGUCCGGCUCCGAGCGUAGUAAUUCUUCUCGCUCUGGAGGUCCGGUCGUGUGCUCGCCAGCAACCCCCAAUUUUUUUCAGGUUGACCUCGGAUCAGGUAGGGAUACCCGCUGAACUUAAGCAUAUCAAUAAGCGGAGGA